rnacentral:rRNA from 1 species
UACGUAGGGUGCAAGCGUUGUCCGGAAUUAUUGGGCGUAAAGAGCUCGUAGGCGGUUGGGUAAGUCGGGUGUGAAAACUCCAGGCUCAACUUGGAGACGCCACCCGAUACUGCUCUGACUUGAGUUCGGUAGGGGAGUGGGGAAUUCCUGGUGUAGCGGUGAAAUGCGCAGAUAUCAGGAGGAACACCGAUGGCGAAGGCAGGUCUCUGGGCAUUAACUGACGCUGAGGAGCGAAAGCAUGGGGAGCGAACAGG